AACGAACGCUGGCGGCAGGCUUAACACAUGCAAGUCGAGCGAAGCCUUCGGGCUUAGCGGCGGACGGGUGAGUAACGCGUGGGACCGUGCCCUUUGGUACGGAAUAGCCCCGGGAAACUGGGAGCAAUACCGUAUGUGCCCUUCGGGGGACAGAUUUAUCGCCAAAGGAUCGGCCCGCGUUGGAUUAGGUAGUUGGUGGGGUAAUGGCCUACCAAGCCGACGAUCCAUAGCUGGUUUGAGAGGAUGAUCAUCCACACUGGGACUGAGACACGGCCCAGACUCGUACGGGAGGCAGUAGUGUGGAAUCUUAGACAAUGGGGGAAACCAUGAUCUAGCCAUGCCGCGUGAUCGAUGAAGGCCUUAGGGUUGUAAAGAUCUUUCAGUGGGCAAGAUAAUGACUGUACCCACAGAAGAAGCCCCGGCUAACUCCGUGCCAGCCGCCGCGGUAA
rnacentral:rRNA from 1 species